GAAAGAAAGAAAUGGAAAAGACCCAACAAGCAAAUGCCGAGUGGGGAAUUGUAUCGCUGCUCUGACAAACCAUGGAGGAGCUGGUCUGGACGGCGUCCAGAAAACCCCCGUGUGGCUGGUAUGCCCACCGACCGGGCAGAGGCCACGGAAGAGGCCGUGUCCUCCUGUCAGAGGUGUGUCCGAAACAUCCGUGCAGAGAUGCUGUGAUGGGUACAAUGGCUUGAACGUAUUUCACAUACAACUCAAACAAUAAAGCAAACCCAGCAAAAGAGCAGGAAUUGUUCAUCUCUUGAUGGAGACGAGGAGAUUUACGUUCUCCUACUUUCUGCCGCCAGCUGCUCACAGCUCCGGGGACGACUUCCUGACCCAGAAGGACCCGGGUAAACCCGGGGCAGAGGUCACGAGGUGGAGACUUCACACAGAGACAGUGCGGCCCGGAGGAGCAGUGGCAGGGGCUUCCGGAUGCCUGGGCCACAAACACCCUCCUUUUAUCCCGACUCGAGCCGCGCGGGCCAAGGACCAGCCUGUGCCCAGGACCAGCAGACUCCGCACUCCCAGCCCCCUCUGUCACUGCCCGCUGGCUCCUGUGUUCUGUCCCGGGUCCCAUGCGGCUUCUCCCAGCAAGGACAGCACAGCAGGCAGGCGGCUCGGUGACUCCACAAAGUGGCUUUGGAGGCGGACGGCCGCUCCAAAAGAAUUCCCGGAGCUUGACCCUUCCUGGCUCGGUGCCCCGCUCUACGGUGACUGGGACGCCACACAGCGGGCCUGGGAGAGGGGACAGACAGUGCUGGAAAGCAGCAGGGGGACCGGAGACAUCCGCGGAGUUCGACUGGAAAUUUAGCCUCAGGAAAUUAUCUUGCAAACGCACAGACUCUUUCACACCGUAAUAACUUCCAUGGUUCUAAAUGUGGGAUAGGAGAAAAUUGAGAAUGGUCCAAAUUUCCUAAAGGACAGUCACAAAGGACAUUAGUGUGAUCCCAAUUUGUAAUUAUGUGAUGUGAUGUUCUAUUAUAUCAUGUUAGCUGGAAGGAAACACA